AAACCAACAGGGAUUGCCUUAGUAACGGCGAGUGAAGCGGCAAAAGCUCAAAUUUGAAAUCUGGCACUUCGGUGUCCGAGUUGUAAUUUGAAGAAGGUAACUUUGGAGUUGGCUCUUGUCUAUGUUCCUUGGAACAGGACGUCACAGAGGGUGAGAAUCCCGUGCGAUGAGAUGCCCAAUUCUAUGUAAAGUGCUUUCGAAGAGUCGAGUUGUUUGGGAAUGCAGCUCUAAGUGGGUGGUAAAUUCCAUCUAAAGCUAAAUAUUGGCGAGAGACCGAUAGCGAACAAGUACAGUGAUGGAAAGAUGAAAAGAACUUUGAAAAGAGAGUGAAAAAGUACGUGAAAUUGUUGAAAGGGAAGGGCUUGAGAUCAGACUUGGUAUUUUGCGAUCCUUUCCUUCUUGGUUGGGUUCCUCGCAGCUUACUGGGCCAGCAUCGGUUUGGAUGGUAGGAUAAUGACUAAGGAAUGUGGCUCUACUUCGGUGGAGUGUUAUAGCCUUGGUUGAUACUGCCUGUCUAGACCGAGGACUGCGUCUUUGACUAGGAUGCUGGCAUAAUGAUCUUAAGCCAC
rnacentral:rRNA from 1 species